UUGACGGGGCCCGCACAAGCGGUGGAGCAUGUGGUUUAAUUCGACGCAACGCGAAGAACCUUACCAGGGCUUGACAUCCCCUGACCGCGUAUGAAGUACGAAUUCACCUUCGGGUGACAGGGAGACAGGUGGUACAUGGUUGUCGUCAGCUCGUGUCGUGAGAUGUAGGGUUAAGUCCCGCAACGAGCGCAACCCUUGUCUUUAAUUGCCAUCAUUGAGUUGGGCACUUUAAAGAGACUGCCGGUGUUAAACCGGAGGAAGGUGGGAUGACGUCAAGUCCUCAUGGCCUUUAUGCCCAGGGCUACACACGUGCUACAAUGGGUGGUACAAAGAGCAGCCAGCUCGCGAGAGUGAGCAAAUCUCAAAAAGCCAUCCUCAGUUCGGAUUGAAGUCUGCAACUCGACUUCAUGAAGUUGGAAUCGCUAGUAAUCGCGGAUCAGCACGCCGCGGUGAAUACGUUCCCGGGCCUU
rnacentral:rRNA from 1 species